GUGAUGCUUGCAGCCUUCUGCAGUGACGUGCUGGUGCUCUGUACAGGCAGGUGCCUGAAGCCUUCUGAUGAGCUCCUGUUUAUCACAUACUCUCCUGUACUGGUCAGCAGCAUCAAGAAGCUUUUGUUUGUAAGUCAAUGGAAAACAUCCAAGGGUGGCUGCAAGAGGCUGCAGCAGACUGAGGCACAGCCACAUGGGUGUGUGACCAGACUGGCCUUUGCUUGUAAAGGACCCAUGAGGAACAGAGCAUGAAGCCAAGCAACUCUGAGGAUAUCACUGUUUUUACUAGAGGCAGAGUAAUCCCACAAGAAAGAUCAAACUUGAGGCCAUUCUAUACUUCUCCUUACUUGCAUCCUUUUAUAUCUAGUCAUACAUGCAUAUGUAUGCAUGUUUCCACCUCACAGGCUGGUUUAGAGUCUUCUGGGAUUCAUGAGAAGGUCCUUCUGUGCACAGCCUUACCCUUCCUCAUGACCAGGCCCUAAUUCCACAGCAGCUUUAAGCCAUGUUCUUAAUUCACAAAAGAGCUUCCUUGAGAAAAUGACUAAACUUCAGGCUUUUUAUAGCUCCUUUGGAUUUUUCUGACCACUUAGAGACAUGAAAAUAUCUGGGCUUAGAACUGCUCCUUCACUGCUGGAAGAUAGAGAAGAUGAAAAUGGGAAUUAUGCACCUUUUUCUAUCCAGCUACCUUUUUUGCAUUUUGGACGAGACCUUCGGUCUCACUGCAGUGCAGAGAAUUGUUACUCCAAAACAUUUUGCUGUAAAUAUAGAGUGAAGGACUUGACUUUUAGUUCCAUUCUAUUGUCAUCCUCAAGUAAAUUGUCAAAAACCUUGUCUUUAAAUCACCAGCUAAAGUUAUCUGAGACAAUUUCAGCAUCUUGGUGGCAGAGUGGGAUGAAGUCUAUGUCUCUUUGAUGUGUGACACUCAUGAAAUCUUCUGCCACAUGAGUCUAUAUCCUUUUGAGGUUACUUUCUGGGAAACUUGAAGGUCAGUAGUUGCUCGCAAUCGCACAGAGCUGUCCUUUCAAGACAGCACUUGGUUUUAAACUAGAAGGCUUUGUAUUUCUAUUCUUCAAAGUAGAGUAAACAGCCAGGCAAAUGUGCACAUUUGUCACCUAACACUGCUUUCUGCUUUCUCACAAGGCAGUCAUCUCACAGCUUUCUUUUGGGAGGCUGGGUCAGUGCUUGCCUCAUAAAUCUCCUGGCUUCACUGUUUCCUCUGCUACACCUAUUGCUGCAUCAAGGUCUACUCAAAACUUUGUUCCUUGUUUUCACUUGCAGUCACAUUAACUUAACAUGAAUUGUGCUUUCUGGUGUAGAGAGAAAAAUGGUGCUGGUCCAUCAGCUCUCAAGCUGUAAGGUUCAUUUUGUGGCUGCCUAGUCACAGGGACAGCCGUGAGAGUGACCUACCUGUGUGAUUACUGCUUGUUCUUUGUGUUGCCUUCUUCUUUUACCAUGAAUGAAAAAAGUCUCUUAAACUCAGAUAAUAAUGUAGAAGUGCAUGGGGUAAAGCGAGUAUAUAUGUAUGUGUGUGUAUAUAGAUAUGUGCAUUAUAUAAUGUAUAUUAAUAACUAUAGAGAUUUGCCUUAUAUAAUGCAAAUAAUUAUGUUCUUUGUGGGCCUGUUUCUGUCACAGAAACUACAUCCUUCCCAUAGCAUGUUUCCUGCCUAAUCUUGUUGUUCUCCAGUUGAGAUGAGAAUUAAUUAGCCUUUGCUGUCUCCUCUGUCACUUCUUGUGACAAUCCUCUUGGGUUACUCUUUAGUAUGGAUCUAUCUACUGCCAAUUCUAGCAAUCUCAGUGCUAAACAGAUGUCAUUUUUUGCUUUGUAAAAAGACCCCAGCUCUCUCACACCAAGUGACAGCAUUUCCAAUAGACUUCUAAUCAGAAGUUUAGUGAUACAGCAUCUCUACUGGUAAAGCACAAAAGAGGCUCCAGAGGAGUUUUUUUCUCACUAGGGUUCCAAACCAACAGAUUAUUUGAUAUACAUGAAAGAGCAAAAAAAUUGAGAAUAAAAUUAAUUCCUUUUCUGGAUUGAAUUUUCCUCAAAGUAUUUUUCACAAUUUUGGAGCCGAUGCUAACUAUUUCAAACUUCUUGAUCAUUUUAAAUACAAGUGUUUGUGGGCACACAUUGUGUUCUGUCAUUCUAAAUAUCACUCUGUUUAUAAUUAAGGUGCAGUACAAAUCAUGGACAAACACAACAAAAGCAAAUCACUUAUCCUAGAAAUUAAAAUUUCAAAUAGAAAUUUCCUUUUAGAGUUGGCAUACAAUUCAUGCUUAAGAAUAAAUGUGAUUAUGGAAUAGAUAAUCUGAGAAAAACAAUAUAUGUAAAAUCUAUACUGUUGAUAUUUUUACAUAGUUAUAUUUUAUUUUAAUAAUUUAUUUGUUUGAGCCUGAGGUGCAAAAAUAACUUUAGAUCUAAGAAGCAUAAACAUAGCCACAAUAAGAACAGUCUUCUUAGAUGACCCUGAAGAAAUGGUGUUUUCUAUCCUUCUCCAUAGUUCCACUUUUAUUCAGUAUCAGAGUGUACAUUGACAUUUCCUCCACAAGAUGAUGAGUACAGUGUUCAUGUUAAGUAAAUGACCAUGCAGAUUAUUGACCAAUGAUAGUGUAAAAAGCUUUUGCUAGUUUAUGGUGCUGUGGAGUCUUUUAGAAUUACAGUAAUACUGACCAGCGUAGUUGUGUCCCUGCUCCCUUUGGGCAGCUGUGCACACGUCUGUAUUCCAGUCAGAUGAAAGUUAUUGUCCAAGUAUUGUCCAAUAAGAAGAAAUUUAUCUUAACUUUAUCUCAUCAAGUUCUACACAGCCCAGUUUUGUGUGUGUUUUAUCUUGGACAGCUUGUUUUGUAAUAAAAUCAGGGCUCAGUAGAGUAAUAAAAUCAUAGAAUAUACUGAGUAGGAAGGGACUCUCAAGGACCAUCAAGUCGAACUGUCAGCUAAUUUUACCAAGCUUCAACUCUAACAUUUUCGCUCCCUAGGCAAAAAAAAAAAUAGAUUUAAACAGUCUCACUUGGAUACUCUAAUUCAAACAAAUCCAAAAUGCUGCAAUAUUUUACUUAUACAGAAAUCCAAAACCAUUUUGGAAAGCAAAAAUAAGGAAUUGCAUGUUUCAGUUCCUAGAAAUGAACCAUUAAUGAUACACAUGCUAUAACUAAAUAAUGUGUAAAUCAUAGUAUAACAAGAAUUCUAUUCCUAAAUAGCCAAUGAAGCAAUUUCCCUUCAAAGGGAAAAUAGGUAACUCAGGUUAGUUGAUGUUCUGUAGCCAGAGGGCACAUCACUGUUGAUGUUUUUUAUUCUACACUUUGAUCUAGUGCCAUCUCUAAAUCAAAAUUUAUCUUUUUUCAAAUAGAAGAGUUUUCUUUCAUUGUUUAGAUGAAGCUAGUUCCUUCCUGACUUUCACUGGCAAUCUGUCUAUCCCUAUGGAAGGGAUGAAACACAGGACAGCUAUAUUCUCUUUUUCCCAACACAGAAAACUUUCUAGAUGGCAGUUCUGUCCAUUAUCAUGACAGGAUUUUCAUCAAAACAUCUAAACAGAGACGCUUACAUGGAUUUUGUUUUAAUUUUGCCUACAUUGGAAUGAAUUCUAGGACUUGGGAUUUUAUGAUACUGACAGAUAGAACCUCCAAGAAGAACACCUUGUUUUUCCAGGGCCAUUUUUCUUGAUGUAUUACAACUUCCAAUGAUGUGAAAAGUAUCCUCCCGUUCCUAUUGAGAACACAUUCCUAGCAAAAGAUAAUUAAGAAAAGCAAACACUAACUUUUCAAAUACUUGCCUUUUACAACUACAUCAAAAGCUGAAAGACUUCUAAAAACUGAAGAAAAAAAUAUUGUUUUUAAUAUUGAAGUAUUACCAAUUCUUCUCAAUAACUCAGAAAACUAAGUUCGGGGAACUCUAGCAAGUACCAACUUUCUGAAACUUCAGCAAGUUAUUUUAAACAGGUCUCUUAGUUUCCUCUACUUUGCUGAGUAUUGGGAUAUUUGAAUCAUUUAACUUCUUGAACUGAAUUAUUUUGUGCACCACAAGCCAGAUUUUGCAAUAUCAACAGCUCAUCAUGAAACAGAGCCAAUGCAGCACCAGGAAAUAGCUAAAGCAAGAGAAGAAACAGAUCUGUUUAAUUUUGCACACAUAUUCCUUAGAAAUCAGUGAUGAGGGUAAAGAAAAUCCAGAACACGUAUAGUUUUCCUAAAAAAUGUUUGGAUAAAAUUAAUUUCAUAUUUGUGAAGUUUUCCACAGACUACUGAAGGCUUAGUAGAAACUGUUGCCAAAACUUUAAUUUCAGUCAGUUUUACAGUCCUUGCCUUAUUCCUGAAAGUAUUUUUUUUCAAAGAAGAGUUUUAGAAGACAGUCAACAGUUAGGCUUUGAAAGUAGCAGGAAUCUUUAAGAAAGAAUUUUUUAAUGCUAUUUGAGAUGCUUUUUUUUCUUUCUUUGGAAAUAUAAUUAACAUCCAUGCAUAAAUUUAUUAAGCAUGACUGCUGAGUGUACGUAUAUUUGUAGUCUACCUGUGUAUCAAAUUCUAUAAGAGCAAAUAGUUUUGCCUGAAAAAUGCUUUCUGCAAGAGUUACAGGAAAAAGUACAAUCCAGACAGCUUUCCUGUGGCAGAGUUUCACACAAUUUCAUAAUUCUAUAUAGUCAUAUUUGUAGGGGUGUAUGGUUAAGACACGAUUUUCCCAUUCAACAGUUUCCAACUACAAAAAAAACCACUACAAGGGAUAUGAGAAAGAGAACAUACAUAACUUCUGCGUGAGGUUCUUUUCACUCAUUUUAUCUCUUAGUACCAAGGAUUGUCACAUUUGGAAUAUCUAAUUAUUUAAUCUGGAAAAAAAAUUACUAUUAAAAUUACAAUUUCCCACAGUCACUUCUGCACGAUUUCUCUCACCUUCUGGAGCUUGUUUAUUUUAUUUAUAUAUACAUAUAUAUAAUAACUGCUGUAUAUGUCUCCUAGAGUACCCCAUGACUAGUACAUUAAAAGAAGCUUUCUUCAGUUUAAAGUGAAGUAAAACCAGAGAGAGAUGUGCUCUGGAGUAAUAAGGAAAACAUAAAGAUUGAAAAGUACUUAACAUUGCUUACUGCCAUGUUUGCAAAUGUCAAACACCAUUCACAGAUGGAGAGGUUUUUCUGUGUUUAAAGUCUUUAUUUUCCACAAGAAAGACAAGAAAUAUUUCCAUGAAGAUGUCAAGGGAUACCAGGAUGGUCAUUAAUACCAGUAUACUGAAUGGGAAAGAAAAAAGGCAGAGUCAGGAAUGUUUGCAAUGCUGCAAUGCAAACAUGACCUGCAGCACAGAGCCCAACAGCAACAGAGAAUACUGCAGAAACUGGGCCCAUGAGUCAACUCACCAUGGUCUCAUCCCUUUAAAGUGCCUUUAGCACGGUCUAGCUGAGAGAAGCCAGAAUUUCAACAGUAAACACACAAUCUCAGAUAUCACCAUUGCAGAAAGAAAAAGAAAAUCUAAAUGUCUGGUUUGCUAGCCAGCAGAGUGAGGGUACACCUGCUCUCACCUCUUUUAUAGCACUCUCCUAAACACCAGAGAUUUUAAAGGAGCAGGGAGAUUUACCAACACUUUUUUACGUAGUGUUGUAGCACUAAAGUCAGGCACAGUCAAGUAGAGUUUAGUUUUUACUGCUUAACAUAGGGAAUGUUUCAGAAACAUGACCUCCAGGGAAGUUGAACAGCCCAAGAUUCAACUCCAAAACAUCUUCAAGGCCAACUGUUUCUGUAUGGGAAACAGAAGGUCACAAAAUCAAGUCUAGACUAAAUAAAAGCAGCUACUUCAUCCAAAAGAUCUGUUUGAUAGAUACACUAAAACAUAGAACAACAUUAUUCAAAGCGUAACAAUGUUCUAUCAAAAAGGACAGAAAAGGAGGGGCAGGUGAGCAGGUUUUAGAAUCAUAGGAUCAUUUAGAUAGGAAAAGACCUUUAAGAUCAUCAAGUAUAACAGUUGCUAUAGUGCUGACAAGUCCACUGCUAAACCAUAUCCUAAAUUCCACAUCAAAGUUCCUGUAGGGAUUGUGACUCGCCCACUUUCAUGGGCAACCUGUUCCAUUGCUUGAAAACCCUUUCUAUGAAGAAAUUUGUCCUGAUUUGCAAUCUAAACUUUCUCUGAUGUAAUUUGAGACUCUUUCCUCUUGUCCUACUGCUUGUUACCUUGGGGAGAGGAAAACACCCACCUUGCUACAGCCUGCUUUCAGGUGAUUGUAGAGAGCAAUAAGGUCUCUCCUGAGUCCUCUUCUCCAGGCUGAACAACCCCAGGUUCCUCAGAUGCUCCUCAUGAGACUUGUGCUACAGAUCCUUCCCAGCUCUGUUGCCCUUCUCUGGACACACUCCAGCAGCUCGAUGUCCCUGCAGUGAGGGGUCCAGAACUGAGCACAGGAUUCAAGGUUGGCCUCACCAGUGCUGAGUACAGGGGGACAAUCCCUGUCCUGAUCCUGCUGGCUACGCUAUUCCUGAUAAAAGCCAGGUGCCAUUGGCUGUCUCGGCCACCUGAGCACAUGCUGGCUCAUGUUCAGCUGCUGUCAACCAGCACCCCAGGUCUUUUUCCAAUGGGCAAUCACCUUCUACUUUCCAGCCACUCUGCUCCAAAUCUGUAGCAGGGCAUGGCAUGGUUGUGACCCAAGUCCAGGAUUCAGCACUUCAUCUUGCUAAACCUCAUAAAACUGGCCUUGGCCCAUGAAUAAGGGUGUCCAGAUUCAUCUGCAGAGCUUCCUGCCCUCCAGCAGACCAACGCUCCCAUAUAUAUGCCAGGUCAGGACACUCAAGAUAAUUUGUUCUGGGUUGCGCUGGUUUUGACUUUCUCCUAAAGAUCAUAGAACAGCAAGACUUUAUUAUUUCAAGCUCUUAUGUUAGAACUUCAUUUUGAAGGAAUGGAUAAUUAGUUGCCUGGAUUUAUACUACCUUUUAUUAUCAAAGUAUUUCUUGCCAAGACCUUUAUAUGGGUUAUAAUUGCCCUUUCCUUAGCAUGGUUUCUCAGUGCCUGCCAGUAAUACUCUGGGAGACAAGAGUGGCACCUGCCACAUGAGGUUUUAUCUUCUUAUCCUCUCCCCAAAGCAGAAAUUACUCAUGAAGUAAAAUAUUUUCUGCUCAUAAGUUUUACUUUGUCAUAAGUACAUGCAGCAAAGUGCUUGUGUUAGAUGGAGCUAGGUCAAAGAAAUUAUGGCUUAUAGCUCCUGCAGGAGUUCGUUUCACUGAUCUUACACUGGAUUUGAAGAUUUCUUGUCUGGUUCAAAGACUCUUAUCCUUGAGGAAAAUAGUUGCAUUGCAAUUGAGGGUCAACAACUUGAAUGGGAACAAACCUGUUUCAUAAGACCCAGCAGCUUUUCAUUUGAUGACUUAAUUAAUCCUUGUUUUUCAAUUAAAGAUCAACCAUUUCUUUCCUUGUUUCUCCCUUUUUUUUAACUGAAGGUAUUCUGUGAGGUUUUUCUCCUUUUUGAUCAAAGCAUCUGAAUGACUGGACAUGAUGUGAUGAAAUUUUACAUUUAUUUGGUGCUGUUCUGCAGAGCUAUUUGUCCACCAGUUCACAGUACUUUUUGUUGUUUUAAAAAUUUGCUAUUUCAUUUUGGUU